GACGAACGCUGGCGGCGUGCUUAACACAUGCAAGUCGAACGGUGAAGCCCAGCUUGCUGGGUGGAUCAGUGGCGAACGGGUGAGUAACACGUGAGUAACCUGCCUCUGACUCUGGGAUAAGCCUUGGAAACGGGGUCUAAUACUGGAUACGAGACGCUCGGGCAUCCGAAGUGUCUGGAAAGAUUUAUCGGUCAGAGAUGGACUCGCGGCCUAUCAGCUUGGUGGGGGGGUAAUGGCCUACCAAGGCGACGACGGGUAGCCGGCCUGAGAGGGCGACCGGCCACACUGGGACUGAGACACGGCCCAGACUCCUACGGGAGGCAGCAGUGGGGAAUAUUGCACAAUGGGCGCAAGCCUGAUGCAGCGACGCCGCGUGAGGGAUGACGGCCUUCGGGUUGUAAACCUCUUUCAGCAGGGAAGAAGCGAAAGUGACGGUACCUGCAGAAGAAGCGCCGGCUAACUACGUGCCAGCAGCCGCCGUAA
rnacentral:rRNA from 1 species